CGGGGACAUUGGUGACAGGUGGGGCAUGGUUGUCGUCAGCUCGUGUCGUGGGAUGUUGGGUUAAGUCCCGCAACGUGCGCCACCCUUGUCUUGUGUUGCCAUCAUUAAGGUGGGCACGCUAGGGAGACGGCCAGGGAUAACCUGGAGGAAGGUGGGGAUGACGUCAAAUCAUAAUGCCCCGUAUGCUUAGGGCUACACACGUGCUACAAUGGGUAGUACAGAGGGUUGCCAAGCCGUAAGGUGGAGCUAAUCCCUUAAAGCUACUCUCAGUUCGGAUUGUAGGCUGAAACUCGCCUACAUGAAGCUGGAGUUACUAGUAAUCGCAGAUCAGAAUGCUGCGGUGAAUGCGUUCCCGGGUCUUGUACACAC
rnacentral:rRNA from 1 species